rnacentral:rRNA from 1 species
GGGGAAUAUUGGGCAAUAGGGGCAACCCUGACCCAGCGACGCCGCGUGAAGGACGAAGGCAUUCGUGUUGUAAACUUCUUUGGAGAGGGACGAAAAUGACGGUACCUCUCGAACAAGCCACGGCUAACUACGUGCCAGCAGCCGCGGUAAUACGUAGGUGGCAAGCGUUAUCCGGAAUUACUGGGUGUAAAGGGCGCGCAGGCGGCCCUGCAAGUCGGAUGUGAAAGAUCAAGGCUCAACCUUGACAGGCCAUUCGAAACUGUGGGGCUUGAGUGUCAGAGGGGAAAGUGGAAUUCCUAGUGGAGCGGUAAAAUGCGCAGAUAUUAGGAGGAACACCGGUGGCGAAGGCGACUUUCUGGCUGACAACUGACGCUGAGGCGCGAAAGCGUGGGGAGCAAAC